GGGCAAGAAAGGUUAUCAUAAGUC
rnacentral:siRNA from 1 species